GAUGAAGAACGUAGCGAAAUGCGAAAAGUAAUGUGAAUUGCAGAAUUCAGUGAAUCAUCGAAUCUUUGAACGCACAUUGCGCCCGCUGGUACUCCGGCGGGCACGCCUGUCCGAGCGUCAUUUCAACCCUCAAGCCCUCCUUCGGGAUGGGCCUGGUGUUGGGGCUCGGCCGCCAUCUCCGGCGGCCGUCCCCUAAAUACAGUGGCGGUCACGUCGCGACUCCUUUGCGUAGUAGAAACACCUCGCUCCGGAUAGCAACGCGGUCCACGCCGUAAAAUCCCCAAUUUUCAAUGGUUGACCUCGGAUCAGGUGGGAAUACCCGCUGAACUUAAGCAUAUCAAUAGCGGAGGA
rnacentral:misc_RNA from 1 species